GACGAACGCUGGCGGCGUGCUUAACACAUGCAAGUCGAACGGACGGGCCCUGCUUUUGUGUGUUUCUUGUUUGCGGAAGGGGGGUGAAUCACGUGUGUAUCCUCCCCUUAUCUUUCGGAUAUCUUUUGGAAACUGGGGCUAUAACCGCGUAGGAUCUCUUGCUCCAUGUUGUUGAUUGGAAAGUUUCGGCGGUUGUGGAUGGACUCGCGGCUUCUCCGCUGGUUGGUGGGGUAGUGACUUACAAAGGUUUCGACGGGUAGCCGGCCUGAGAGGGUGACCGGCCACAUUGGGACUGAGAUACGGCGCAGAAGCCUACGGGAGGCAACAGUGGGGAAUAUUGCACAAUGGGCGGAAGCCUGAUGCAGAAACGCUGCGUGCGGGAUGACGGCCUUCGGGUUGUAAACCGAUGUCGACUGUGACGAAGAGUGAGUGACGGUAAUGGGUAAAGAAGCACCGGCUAACUACGUG
rnacentral:rRNA from 1 species